GAUGAACGCUGGCGGCGUGCUUAACACAUGCAAGUCGAACGGAAAGGCCCAAGCUUGCUUGGGUACUCGAGUGGCGAACGGGUGAGUAACACGUGGGUGAUCUGCCCUGCACUUCGGGAUAAGCCUGGGAAACUGGGUCUAAUACCGGAUAGGACCACAUUUUGGAUGGUGUGGUGGAAAGUUUUUCGGUGUGGGAUGAGCUCGCGGCCUAUCAGCUUGUUGGUGGGGUAAUGGCCUACCAAGGCGUCGACGGGUAGCCGGCCUGAGAGGGUGUACGGCCACAUUGGGACUGAGAUACGGCCCAGACUCCUACGGGGGGCAGCAGUGGGGAAUAUUGGACAAUGGGCGCAAGCCUGAUGCAGCGACGCCGCGUGGGGGAUGACGGCCUUCGGGUUGUAAACUCCUUUCGCUAGGGACGAAGCGUUUUUGUGACGGUACCUGGAGAAGAAGCACCGGCUAACUACGUG
rnacentral:rRNA from 1 species